ensembl:lncRNA
AACACAGAAAGAUGGCGCCGGCCACGCUGCGCGGCGCUGCUGCGUCACAGCGAUCCUCCGCGGACCGCGGGGAGAACAAAGGCGGGGCGGCCGCCCGGCGCAGCCGAGAACAGCAAGAGCUGAAAAUAGAACCACCUUGGGCUCCGGAGCAGGAAGCUGCCCAGGAGCGGUACUGAGGACUGACGCCGAGGGACGCUGGCGCCCCGCGGGUGGCCAUGGCGACGGGCCCCCUUCUCUAGGCUGGGGGCAGACUCUGAGGUUUUGCUGUAUAGCCCAGGCUGGCCUUGAACUUACAGCGGAUCCUCCUGCCUCAGCCUCCCGAGUGCUGGGAUCCCAGGCGUGCCCAGUGUGGCCUUGCAGUCCCUUGCCUCGGGCCUCUGGGCAUCUGUUGGACAGCUCCAGUCCCAGCGCUGCCCUUUCUCCUGAGUUGGCUUCAGAAGAGGCAGCCCCUGAAGCACUCCCUUCAGAGAGGGUCUUGCUGUGUAGCUGUGGCUGGACUUGAACCAAGAGCAAUCCUCCUGCCUCAGCCUCCCGAGUGCUGGGAUGACAGGCGCCACCAUGCCCAGCUUAGAAACCAGCAUUUUAAAAGACCAGGUGCUGCAGUCGGAUGGGCCGGGGAUUUAGCUCAGUGGUUCCGGCACCUGCCUCACAAGCGCAAGGUCCCGAGUUCAAUCCCUGGUACCAAAAAAAAUACCAGGUGCUGCAGUCGGAGGGACCGUGCAGAUCAGCCAGACACAGCGCUUUCAGGAGAAGAAAAAAGCAAAUCUAUAACCCUGGCUUCAAGUUUCCUGGAGGGCUGUGGCACAAGGUAGCUUUUCUUUUUUAACUCUGAUUUCUGCCCAUCCGAGGUUGCAGUCCUUCCUCCAGGGAGCUGGUUCAAGACAUCUCACACCUCCGCCUUCGCCCCUUCUCCUCCCUGUCUCUCCAUUGAGUCUUCAGAGCCUCUGGUGUGAAGCAGAGAUGCAGCAGGAGGCAGGCGCACAUGCUGCGCACUGCACAAGCAGAAGUGUCGCUCCCUGGCACUCUGACGGUGUCCUCAAGGAGUAGGCUGUGAGUUUCAGACUAGGAAAAGCUAUCCCAGAGAGCAGCGAGCUGAAAUCAGACUGCAGCUCAGCUCAGCAGCACUUCAGAUGCGUGGCCUUCAGCACCCCAUUCCUCAGCUCCCAGUGUUGGAUCCCCACUGCUGGCUCUGCAGGCUGUUGCCGUGUCUCCGUCCUCCAGAAGUACCUGCCUCCGAGGUGGGUCCUGUGCUCACGCAUGGGGCGAGGUCACGGUGUUUGCCACUUGACCACAGCCUGGACAUCAGCUCCCUCUCUGGAAGAACCUAGUUCCCACCCCGGUCCGCUUUGUCCCUCUCAGAUGCCAUGUACUUCCUCACUGUACAAGUCCAUACAGUCCCUUGUUCUUUAGUUAAAACAGUUUAACCUUUGUUUGGGGAUUUUUUUUCAGACAGGAUUUUGUUAUGUUUCCCAGGCUGGCCUUGAACUCAUGGCAAUCCUCCUGCCUCAGCCUCCUGAGUGCCAGGUUACAACAGUUUAAUUCUUACAAGAACAGUAUGUAUUUGAAAAAUGUUUCAAGUAGAUUUUACUUUUAAAAAAAAUUCCAAGGAGAAACAAAAUUGCAUUUUAAAGCAUUUAUUAGUUAUAAAAUAAUCAUUUAAAUUUUUUUUUCCUCGAGACUGCUUUCAAGUUGCACUGAGAGAAUGCUAAUGUAAAUAUUCACAAGAUAGUUGUUUGCUUUUUAUUAUUACAAAUGCUUAGUCUUUUUUUCCUUCCAAUUUAGAUAGAAAAAGUGAAAGAGAAAAACAUUGCCUAAAGGAAAUAGCCUUUACAAUGGACCUUUGACUUACGAACUCAGUCCGUUCCAGAGGGAUGGUUGUAACUCAGGUUGGUCAGUGGAGGCUCGGGCUCCCCUACACAGCCUUCACAGUCUCUCUCCUGCACACAGGCAGAUCUCAGUGUCCUCAGAGAGACACUGGCCGGGGAUUUCCCAGUGAGCCCCAUUCAGGAGAGGAUGCUGUCCUGUUCCUUCCAGACUCUUUAAGGGUUAAGUCUGCAUGUGAGACCAUCUGGAAGCACAGGUGGCCAGCAUUCAGGUCAUAACUCAAGACUUUGGUUGUAAGUUAAAACUAAAAUCCUGGUCAAGACCCAAGUUGUUCGUAUAUCAGGCCGGUUGUAACUCAAGGGCCCACUGUUGCACUAUUUACUGAGUGUCUGGCAGUUGCAUGGCUUCGCCGUGGGUCACCCCGAUGUCCUGUGGGCCCCAGGAGAAGCUCAGGACCAAGGCCUGGCGGGCACAGCACCAUCCCUGCUGCCUUUCCUUCGGCAGCUGGGGACGCCUCUGCCCUCAGUCGCUGUUCCGGUUCUGUGUGUAGGAGGAGCCAGCUGCUCUCUGGGAGCCUCUGGUCUGCCUGAAAGGCGCUGCCCCAUCAGUCUGGAGCAGAAAUCCAAGAACAAGCGCACCUGCCUGUCGGAUCUGCUCAGACAAAACAGCGGAGACCUCAAAACACAGCGGAAACGGCGAGUCACCGCCUCCAGAGGAUGCUCUGCCACUGAUUUCAGCCCAGACGCCCUGUGCCCCUCAGGAGCUGGAGUCCCUGAGUCAGCCAGAUGGCAGGGCUCGACUCAGGAAGUCAUCUGGGAGCCGCAGGUUCUGAUGCUGAGCCCAGGGAUAGAGCUGGCUGCUGCUCUCCGAGGGACCUCAGAGCCCGGCCCACACCUCGUGGGACCCACAGAGCCUCCUGGCUGCCCUGGCUCAGUUAUCACAGUGCUGAUGCUGUCCACUCUAAAGGUACAGUACUGUGAUAACUGAAGGAUGGCAGCCACCUUGCUGCCCGAGGUGCCCGGAACCACAGAGGAGGAGGAGGAAGAAGGGGCCCAGUGAUGGCCCCGAAACCCAUGCGCAGCCCCUGGCUGGAGAGAAGGUUAUUCUGGCUCUUCGCUGUGCUUUGUUCAUUUUUGGGUUUUUUUGAGUUAGGUCGCCAUGCCGUUCAAACUGGCCUUGAAGUCACUGGAGCCCAGGCUGGUCCUGGACUCGAGGUGAACCUCCUGCCUCAGCCUCCUGCGUGCUAGGGUUGCCCCAGCCCUGCUCUCCUUGUCUCGUUUUAUAACAUGGGCAGAAAACUCGAGGUGGUUUGUUGGCAAACACGGAAGGGCCAGGAACCUUGAGUCUUCAGGGGUCAUCGCUGGGGAUGUACCGGGUAUGAGUCAGGGGGCCGGGCAUGGCAGUGCCCGCCUGUAAUCCCAGACUCGGGAGGCUGAGGCAGGAGGACUUCUGGGAGUUCAAGGCCAGUGUCCAGUUGCCGUGUCUCUGGGGAUUGGACAGCGACCUGUCUGUCCUGUGUCCGGAGAGAUUUACAUCACAUCUUCUCCCAAAAGUGUGUACUGUUACUGCUGCUGUUGUCACCUUUCAUAUGAAAAUAAAGUGUGAAGUUAUUUCAUUUUGUCACAUAAAGAAGGACCACUCUGGGAGCUGGGUGUGGGGGCCACACCGGUAAUACUCGGGAGGCCGAGCGAGGCAGCAGGAUCCCU